ensembl:snRNA U6 U6 spliceosomal RNA
GUGGUCACUUCAGUAGCACAUACACUAAAAUUGGAACGAUACAAAUAUUAGCAUGGCCCCUGCACAAGGAUGACAUGUAAAUUUGUGAAGCAUUCCAUAUUUUA